rnacentral:lncRNA from 1 species
GUGUCAAAGGAGACACUGCUCUCUAGUCUUUCCAGAAGAACUAUAAUUGGCACCUUACCCUUCUUUAACACUUAUUUUUUUCUGCCAGAGAAGUGCAGUAGGAACAAGGAAGCACAGACAGAAAAUUUUAAAAGUGAAAGAAGUUCUCCUGGAGGUACAGGCAAGUAACUAAUUCAACAAACUGCUCAUCAUUCAACCGAGCAAAUGAGGUGACUGUAAGAUGAAGACUCCAGUGAGAAGAAGAAAGACCUGUCUACUUUUGUGGAAAUUGACCUAAGAGACGAAGUUGAUGAGAUAACUGAACACUUCUUGACAGAGGAGAAACAAUCAGAAGAAGAGGAAGAACCAGCUGAACUCGAGCCCCAAAGCAACUGGCUGUGCUGCUUUCCAACCUGGAGAAAGCAGAAGAAGAAAAAGAUAAAAAUAGGAUAGCUAUGAAAAGGUAAAUUCAGUGCUUAGGAGGCAUCGGAAAUUCUGGUCAGGGGAAUGAUGCAGG